AUUGAACGCUGGCGGCAUGCCUUACACAUGCAAGUCGAACGGCAGCACGGGUGCUUGCACCUGGUGGCGAGUGGCGAACGGGUGAGUAAUACAUCGGAACGUACCUUAUCGUGGGGGGUAACGCAGCGAAAGCUGUGCUAAUACCGCAUACGCCCUGAGGGGGAAAGCGGGGGAUCGCAAGACCUCGCGCGAUUAGAGCGGCCGAUGCCUGAUUAGCUUGUUGGUGGGGUAAAAGCCCACCAAGGCGACGAUCAGUAGCUGGUCUGAGAGGACGAUCAGCCACACUGGGACUGAGACACGGCCCAGACUCCUACGGGAGGCAGCAGUGGGGAAUUUUGGACAAUGGGGGCAACCCUGAUCCAGCAAUGCCGCGUGAGUGAAGAAGGCCUUCGGGUUGUAAAGCUCUUUUGUCAGGGAAGAAACACCGGCUCUAACACAGUCCGGGAAUGACGGUACCUGAAGAAUAAGCACCUGCUAACUACGUGCCAGCAGCCGCGGUAA
rnacentral:rRNA from 1 species